UACGUAGGGUGCAAGCGUUGUCCGGAAUUAUUGGGCGUAAAGAGCUCGUAGGCGGUCUGUCACGUCGGCUGUGAAACCCGAGGCUCAACCUCGGGCCUGCAGUGGGUACGGGCAGACUAGAGUGCGGUAGGGGUGACUGGAAUUCCUGGUGUAGCGGUGGAAUGCGCAGAUAUCAGGAGGAACACCGAUGGCGAAGGCAGCCUCCUGGGCCAACACUGACGCUCAUGCACGAAAGCGUGG
rnacentral:rRNA from 1 species